rfam:Angiostrongylus costaricensis strain Costa Rica genome assembly, scaffold: ACOC_contig0000095
UUAGCUCUGAUAUGUCUGGUAUUCUUGGGUUCAUUGACAACCAGAACUAUUAGACAUAUCGAAGAUCGG